GGGUAAUUUUCCGCAAUGGGCGCAAGCCUGACGGAGCAAUACCGCGUGAGGGAGGAAGGCUCUUGGGUCGUAAACCUCUUUUCUCAGGGAAGAACACAAUGACGGUACCUGAGGAAUCAGCAUCGGCUAACUCCGUGCCAGCAGCCGCGGUAAUACGGAGGAUGCAAGCGUUAUCCGGAAUGAUUGGGCGUAAAGCGUCCGUAGGUGGUUAUGUAAGUCUGUGGUUAAAGCGUGGGGCUCAACCCCAUAAGGGCCAUGGAAACUACAAGACUUGAGUGAAGUAGGGGUAGAGGGAAUUCCCAGUGUAGCGGUGAAAUGUGUAGAGAUUGGGAAGAACACCGGUGGCGAAAGCGCUCUACUGGACUUAAACUGACACUGAGGGACGAAAGCUAGGGGAGCGAAAGGGAUUAGAUACCCCUGUAGUCCUAGCCGUAAACGAUGGAUACUAGGUGUUGCCCGUAUCGACCCGGGCAGUGCCGUAGCUAACGCGUUAAGUAUCC
rnacentral:rRNA from 1 species